rnacentral:rRNA from 1 species
CCUACGGGCGGCUGCAGUGAGGAAUAUUGGUCAAUGGACGAGAGUCUGAACCAGCCAAGUAGCGUGAAGGAUGACUGCCCUAUGGGUUGUAAACUUCUUUUAUAAAGGAAUAAAACGAGGCACGUGUGCCUUUUUGCAUGUACUUUAUGAAUAAGGAUCGGCUAACUCCGUGCCAGCAGCCGCGGUAAUACGGAGGAUCCGAGCGUUAUCCGGAUUGAUUGGGUUUAGAGGGAGCGUAGAUGGGUUGUUAAGUCAGUUGUGAAAGUUUGCGGCUCAACCGUAAAAUUGCAAUUGAUACUGGCAGUCAUGAGUACAGUUGAGGUAGGCGGAAUUCGUGGUGUAGCGGUGAAAUGCUUAGAUAUCACGAAGAACCCCGAUUGCGAAGGCAGCUUACUAAACUGGGACUGACAUUGAUGCUCGAAAGUGUGGGUAUCAAACAGGAUUAGAUACCCUGGUAGUC